UGCAGGGUGGAGCAGUUUGGUAGCUCGUCGGGCUCAUAACCCGAAGGUCGUAGGUUCAAAUCCUACCCCUGCUA
rnacentral:tRNA from 2 species